ACAUCUCCACAAGCUGGUUUUACUAGUGAAUGGGUUAUGAGGUUGUCUAGUGAUAGACUUCCUUCAAGUGGAUUAGCAGGGCUCUAUAGAAGGGUUAAUACUGUGUGUUAUAGUGGAUCCUAUCCAUCACCAGUCAGAGAAGCAAUUCUUGCCUUGAUAUAGUAGCUAAUCAGCUUCCAACUGCCUUCAUUGGCAAACACCUCGAUCA
rnacentral:misc_RNA from 1 species